UGGGGUGUGGUGUAGUGGCGGCACGUUGGAUUUUGAUUCCAAAAGCAUCCGUAGGUUCGAUUCCUACCACCCCAA
rnacentral:tRNA from 2 species